UGGGGAAUAUUGCACAAUGGAGGGAACUCUGAUGCAGCGACGCCGCGUGAACGAAGAAGGCUUUCGAGUCGUAAAGUUCUUUUAUAUGGGAAGAUAAUGACGGUACCAUAAGAAAAAGCCCCGGCUAACUACGUGCCAGCAGCCGCGGUAAUACGUAGGGGGCUAGCGUUGUCCGGAAUCACUGGGCGGAAAGGGUUCGCAGGCGGAAAUGCAAGUCAGGUGUAAAAGGCAGUAGCUUAACUACUGUAAGCAUUUGAAACUGCAUAUCUUGAGAAGAGUAGAGGUAAGUGGAAUUUUUAGUGUAGCGGUGAAAUGCGUAGAUAUUAAAAAGAAUACCGGUGGCGAAGGCGACUUACUGGGCUCAUUCUGACGCUGAGGAACGAAAGCGUGGGUAGCAAACAGG
rnacentral:rRNA from 2 species